rnacentral:rRNA from 1 species
CGUGUAGGCGGCUUGGCAAGUCCGUUGUGAAAGCCCACAGCUUAACUGUGGAAUUGCGAUGGAAACUACCUUGCUAGAGUGCGGGAGAGGAGAGUGGAAUUCCCAGUGUAGAGGUGAAAUUCGUAGAUACUGGGAGGAACACCGGUGGCGAAGGCGGCUCUCUGGACCGCUACUGACGCUGAGACGCGAAAGCUAGGGAGCAAACG